rnacentral:lncRNA from 1 species
CAGGCAUGGCAGGCAGGGGAGGAUCGGGUCCUGCAGAUGUGCUGAGGAGUGCAGAGAACUACUUCUUUUUGCAAAUGUGUCUCUUGUAGGACUUCUCUGAAUCAAAAUGGCUCGCAGGCCCAAUGACAGCAGCUGGAAACUGCAACAAUGGGGAUCUCCAUCAGUAACAUUGCAAUGGAUCUCAAAGCUCUGCUACAUCAGCUUGAAAGCUGUGCAAGAUCUGUAGUAUGCAGCAAACAUGAGGAAACGUCUAUGAGUACUCUUGAGGGGAAAUGUGUAUGUAAGGCUCUUUGGGCACUAACCAAAAUCAUAUUAUUUUUCAGCAAAGUUUACAUUGCUUUUUCAUACACAAAACUCAGUGUUUGGAAAACUCAUUUUCCUAAAUUGCUUUCUCUGAAGGAAGGCAUCAUAUAGUGGUUUAUAC